rnacentral:lncRNA from 1 species
UCAGGGCCUGCAUUAAAUGUCUUAAAUAUGUUUUAAUAGCUCAGAUGCAUAAAAAGGCAUGAUUGAAGCCCUAGAGUUGGCAGGAAUCUUUCUGUUGCCCUGCAGGACUCUGAGUCGGAUGUAGAGUAAGAGAAGAACAAACACCAAAUCAGUAUUUCCCCUCCCCAGAAAAGAAGCUGAUAAUCAAGACACAGGUAGAGCUUGAAAAUACUUUAGUGAAAGGGGUUUUAUUGGGAGUAAUUGGAGAUUUAGACAACAAAAACCCUCCAGUGCUAAAAGCAGUCUGCUUUAACCCAGCURUUUGAUUAUAUAUUGGUGUGUUAAUGGAUUGCUCAUUUCAGGUUCAUUUUGCCCAACUGGAGGGGAACAAGUGUCCUCAUGAAAAUGAAAGAGAAGGGGCAAGCCAGCUGGCUUUGAGCUGGAGAUGGGGCAGCUCUCCUGCAGGAUCUGGUGGCUGCUGUGAAGRUGAAGGUUCAGAGAAACCUCAGCUGGACACAGGAAAAGAGGCUCACUCRGACGAAUGUCAAAGCAAAGAAGAGGUGAAAUUCUGGGCUUGGAGGAAAUGGCAGAAGGGUGCUUGAAAAAAGCUGCUCYGGUGAGUGUGUGAAUGAAGUAGUUCAACAGAGGUAGACUUCAAGGGCUGGGAAUAUUUUCAAGGAGAACAUCUAAA